UGUCGCUUCUAUUCAGUCAGGAAAUGAAACCAGCUGCAAAACAAAUAGGCAAGAAAAGACGUCCUGAAUCCUGAAUGACAGGUUUGUUUUUGUGUAACUGUUCGAUGGAUAACAAGUUGAAGCUGUGCUUGGUGAACAGUACAGAACAUAAAUUGCUUUAGUUGAAUUAGUUCCUUUUAUAAAGGGAACCUCAUGAGGACUGAGGGGAGAUCACGUGAAAGGAGGAAGUAACAAACGCGUUGUGGUGAAAAACGUACUUGAAGAAGAUUCAGGAAACACUUUCAGACUCAGUCUGCUCCGUCCAACUGUCUCUACUGUCACUUCACCCUCGACGACAAAGAUGAGGAUUGUAAUGUUGGGAAAAACAGGAGUUGGUAAAAGCAGCGUGGCGAACACCAUAUUAGGAGAGAAACUGUUUAAGAUCAGCAGUUCUGGCAUCUCUGAAACAAGUGAAUGUCGAUCAGAAACCAGACGUGUUGAUGGAAGAGACGUCACCAUGAUCGAUAUUCCUGGUUUGUUCGACACGAGUCGACCUGAAGAGGAGCUAAAGGCUGAAAUAGUGAAGUGCAUCACAGAGUGCUCUCCUGGGCCUCAUGCUUUUCUCAUAGUGUUUAAGGUGGAGAUAUUCACAGAUCAGGAGCAGGAAGUGAUCAAUAAAAUCAACCAAUACUUCUCUGAAGAAGCUUUCAAGUCUGCAACAGUGCUCUUUACUCAUGGUGACCAGCUGGAGGAAGGACAGACCAUUGAGCAAUAUUUCCACAACAAUCAGCCUGUGAGUGAUCUGAUGAAGAAGUGUGGAGGCCGCUGCCACGUCGUUGAUAACAAACACUGGAAGAACAACCAGCCGUAUGAGUAUAGGUGCAACCAGUUCCAAGUGAAGCAGCUGAUGAAGACCAUCGAUCACAUGAUUGAGGAAAACAAGGGAAGCUGCUACACCAACGAGAUGCUACAAGCUGUGGAGAAACUGAUACAAGAGGAAGAGGAAAAGAUCAGACAGUCAUCAGGAAACAAGACAGAGAAAGAGAUCAGAGAGGAUGCUAAAAAGACAACAUCUGGGAGGCUUUUGAUCAAUUUCGCAGGUAUUGCAACAGGUGCACUGUUGCAAUACCUGCUAGGUCUUUUUAAAGGCAGCCUGAUGGUUGGAGGAGCUGAAGUUUUAAAGAAAAUGACUUUGGGAAAAAUAGUUCCAGCACUAGCAGAGUCAGUAGUAGGGGGAGCAACAGAAGGAGCUGGUAAAGUAGCAGGCUCACUGAUGGCAGCAGGUUCAAUGAUCGAAGGAGGUUUAACAGGAUACGAUGCCGCUCAGGAAGCAGACACAGUAAGCGAAGCAAUGGAUAGGGCAGCAAAAGCUGUCUUUAAGAAGUAAACUCUCUCUUUGAAGAUCAGGAAGAACAAGCAGAGAACAAAUCUGAAUUAAAACCUUUAAUCUGAUUCUGAAGACGGGAAAGAAUGUGUCAUUAAAAUGUCUUCAAUUUUCUGACUCUUUUCUAAAGCGUGUUGCAACAGCUGCAGAGCAAAGUGCUUCCUGACUAAAUAAAAGUUCAAUCUUUUCUUGUUUUUAGUACAAAGUGCCUGAUAUGUUGUUUCUUACAUGUAUUAUAUACUGUGGCCAAAAACUACAAAUAUGUUGUUUCAUGAUCAAACUGGUCCUGGAUGUUGAACCGUUCUUCUCUGUUUCCUGUUACAAAGUUAACCAGAAAAUGUUUUUGUUUCUAUUUACAUCAUUUUGUGAGACAAUAAUUGUAGUUAUGUGUGGAUUCAAAUGUAUCAACAAGACAAAUCAAAACACGUCUGUGAAGGUUAUAAAAAGACAUUUAAAGAGAUCUUUGACAAUAUCUAUACUUUGUAUUAAAAAACAUACAAUCCUUGGAAUUUGACAACACUGAUGUUAAUCUCACCUUGUAGAGGUCGUUGAUCCCGUCAAAUGGAAGUAAGAUCGCUGUGAUUAAGUUUCAUAAAAUACAGUGUAACUAAAAAGUAAAUACUAGCAAACAAUAUCUAACAAAUACUUAUUUUGAUGAUACUGAUACUAAUUAUCUUUAAUCUAAAAUUGGUUGCUGGGUCAUGGAGUGUUACUUCACUGUUCUGUCUUUUAUUUUUCUCUUGUGUCAACGCAACUAAUGUAAUUCAAAUGUUCUCUCAAAACCAAGGAUGAAUUGUCUUUGAUAAUAUCAUAUAUGUAUAUAUUGAUCCCAGAAUUUUUCACAUUAUCUACAUAUGUAGUCAAAGCCUUUAUUCCUUUGUACUACAGAUCCAGGAGAAUAAUGGUUCUGUUAAACAGCCUUUUGUAAGCGACACUUAUGAUGUCAGUGUUAAUUCUGAACUACAUUUGAAUCUUAACUUGAUUCCCAAAACAGCAAAUACCCGUAAUUUGUAUUAUUUGUGUCUCAAAAUAAAGUCAAAUAAAGACAUACUCCUCAUUG